GCUUGGGAAUCUUACGGAAUACUUUUACUGGGUAUGCAGUAGCCAGAAAGAAAUAUCCAGAUGUGAAUACUUCAUGAAAAAGGUCUGAGUAAUGCACUAUUCAUUUUGAUUCUACCUCUGAGUUUUCAAUGUGGUCAAUAUUUUUUAAGUCAGAAGCUAACAUUAAACAACCUACAUUCAUGUUUUGAAAAGUCUACCGCAUGGAAAUCUUGCUACUUUAAUGAGGUAGCCACUCACAGAUUUAAAGAUUAAUGAUUUAAACACUCGUUACAUAGAUUUUGUUAUCAUUGGCACAAAUCAUUUUUUCCUCCGCAGUCCACUCAAAGUAAUGAUGACACGAUCUGCGUAACUUCCCAAUUAGGCGUCGGAGAAGUAACCUACUGCCCUGGCUCAGACAACUCAAAGGAGUUGAAGAGACUGUGUUAGCCCUGGAACUGGAAGUAGAAUUGGUCUGUGCUCUGCCUAGUAAAUCCUACUGUGGUUUAAAGAAAACAAAAACACUCACAAAACAAAACAAAACAAAAUAAAAUAAAAACAACCGAACAAAAAUACCCCAAAAAACACCACAACAAAAAAGCUAUGAGGCUCCCACUUCCCAGAGAGGCUUCUCAGAAAACAUAAAAGGAAAACUUCAGCACACAAACAUACUUGUGCCAAUGCUCUGUCUUAUGGGGCAAGUGGUGUGACGUGACCCAGGGAAGAAAAGGGAAAUGUCUCAAAUUGUGUGUAUGUGUCUGUGUGUGAGGGAGGGGAGGAAGCGAAAUCUUGUUGCCUGUUGGGUGUACUCCAGCCAGGAUGUGUCUACAUCACUCUCAGACUGGUGACAAGUUCAGAGAUGCAUUCUGUCUGGCUCAGCAUUGCCUCACCUUACCUUUGGUCCAGCACAGUGUGGAGCCCAGCACAAACUCAUUUUCUUCAGCUCCUUCAGCUGAGUUUUGCUUGUAUUCUGUCCUUCACUCUGUGCAAUCAAUACUGCUAGCCGUAUUCUGCGUAUCUAACUUUAAAUUUGGACAUAUCUCUAAGCUGUAUGGUAGUCAGUGGUACGGUUGUACAUUCAAAGUGACAAGAACACCUAUCUCUUAUUGCUUGUUGUGCUCAAAUCUCUCUGUGAGAACAGACUGCUACAAACAGGGAGCAGCCAGAGCUCUGCUGCCAUUCAUUGGGAUCGCCAAACCCUGCUGUGCCCACGGUCUGUCUGAAGUUCUAUGUUGUUUCCUGCCUUACUUCCUCUUCACUGCUUCCUGCAUCUUUGCGGUACGUGGUGAGCUAUGCAGCUAGUGCACUGGGUCAGUGCUGCAAGAUGCCCUGCAGAGUUUGGGGCACGACAAGAUGCUGUGCUUAAGUUAAGCCCUUCUUAUGAGAAGAAAGCGGGGCCACAAAGAGGGGAAGUGGCUUGCUCGAGGU
rnacentral:lncRNA from 1 species